ensembl:processed_transcript Eldr Egfr long non-coding downstream RNA
UGGUAGCUAGCGAGGGCUUUGAGACGGCCGAGAGUUUGAGCGCCAAGGCUCUCUCUCCCCAGGGGACUCUGCAACCUGACUAGGUGCUCCUUCCCUGAGCAUAGUAACAUUCCAGGGAGCUGCCCGGGGAAGCUUAACGCUCGAUGCGGGUGGUAGGAAUGUAUCAUGGUGGGAGAGUCAUGGCAGCAGGCAGCUGGAACAGGACACCAAGUAAGAACACCUUCAACUACAAGCAGAAGUCAAGGAGAACUGAAAGUGACAACUGGAACCUUGAGAGCCAAGGGAGAUUGUGGAGAGGAUGUGAGCAGAUGGCCGCUGAGGAUAGCUGACCGGGUGGGUGGGCUGGAACCUAGGCCAGGACCUGCCACCUGAGGAUUGUGCCUGCGAUGUCCAUAUGAUUGUGAACAGCUAAACAGGGAGCUCUGCUCUGUUGAAAAUCAUAAAGUUGAAAAUGAAAAGAGAUAAAGCCUUAAGCACAGAAGAAUAUUUUGUCUUUGGUGAAAAGAACAACUUAAGAUUAAUUUUAUUUUUAUGCUGUAUAUGCGUGUGGGUAUGUGCAUGCAAAUUUGGGUGACUCCAAAGGUCAGAGCAUCAAAUCACUUGGAGCUGGGAUUAUAGGCAAAUGAAAGCUGCCAAGCAUAGGAAUCUAACGAAUGUCCUCUGUAUGAGCAGAGAGUACUCCUUACUGCAGAGCCAUGUUUCCAGCUUAAGGAGGGCUUUUAGAAAGAAGAUUGAUAGAGAAUACAUACUUAAUAGUUUGAUGUACUAAAAAGGUUAAUUUUUAUUCACUAUAGACACUAGAAAUAAUAUUUACAAUUUAUAUAAUGCAUGUGAUUAUAGAACUAGAAGUAACAAUAUUAAAUAUAAAUAAAUUAUUGUAAGUCAGAUAAGAGAGAUGGAAACCCCAGUAGGAAAAACCCAUUAAAGUAACUAAAAUGUGG